rnacentral:tRNA from 1 species
AGGGAUGUAGCGCAGUUUGGUAGCGGAUUAUACAAAAUGUCACUGGUUCAAAUCCUGUCAUCCCUA